rnacentral:rRNA from 1 species
UACGUAGGUGGCGAGCGUUAUCCGGAAUUAUUGGGCGUAAAGAGCGCGCAGGAGGUUGAUUAAGUCUGAUGUGAAAGCCCACAGCUUAACCGUGGAGGGUCAUUGGAAACUGGUCGACUUGAGUGCAGAAGAGGGAAGUGGAAUUCCAUGUGUAGCGGUGAAAUGCGUAGAGAUAUGGAGGAACACCAGUGGCGAAGGCGACUUGCUGGGCAGCAACUGACGCUGAGGCGCGAAAGCCAGGGGAGCAAACGGGAUUA